rnacentral:lncRNA from 1 species
AUUGGAUUGGAUCUAUUUUAAUUGAAGUCCUAUCCAACUUGGAAGAGUUUCAAGUGUGGAAAGACUCCUCCAUGCCACUCUAGUUUCAAGCCCAAAAUUAAUUGCUGCCAACCCCUUUUUAGCAUUAAGAAGAGGAAGAGUCUUUCUUCUUUAAGACUCUUAACCACUUCUUAAUUUCCAUCGGUUCCUUAAUUGUCACG